AAAAUUACGCUGUUAUCCCUAAAGUAACUUAAUUUUUUAAUCAUUAUAUAUGGAUCAAAUAAUCAUAAAUAAAUGUUUUUAAAAAUUAAAAGUUUAUUAAAUUUUAAUAUCACCCCAAUAAAAUAUUUAAAUAUAAUAUAAAUAAAAAUAUCUUAAUAAUUUAUUUAAAAAUAAAUAUAAAGAUUUAUAGGGUCUUCUCGUCUUUUAAAUAUAUUUUAGCUUUUUUACUAAAAUAUAAAAUUCUAAAAUAAUUUAUAUGAAACAGCUUAUAUUUCGUCCAACCAUUCAUUCUAGCCUUCAAUUAAAAG
rnacentral:rRNA from 1 species